UUAUUGGCCUUCUGCUGUGUGGAGCUUGCAGGGAUGUAGUUGUGCAGGUCAACAAGCUUUGGGAAGAAAUGUUUCACAACCUCUGCAGCCAUCACUACAGAGGGAUCCAUGGAGAGGCACAGUCAGCUCACAAGAUGGACAUUACCAGCUAUGCUUAUCUGAUCCCUCCUGGACUACAUCCCUGGUUACCAAAAAGUUGGCAAGCUGUGGUCGUCUCUUUUUCAAGCAGCACAUCAGAGUCCCGAUAACAACAACCAACAGCAGGAGACAGCAAACUGCCAGAGACACAGCUAACACCACGGAGGUUACGCUGCCGCCACUCCAGGAAGCGUCCAAGGGUGAUCUCAGGGCUAGUGCUGACGUCAAUCUGAUCUCUGUACGACCAGAUAUCCACACCGACCAGCAUCACGCGAAUAUUCAGCGGUCGAUAGAGCUGAAACAGAACAGCAUAAUUUGAAAUCACUAAAACUGAAUGAAAUAUCGGACUGCCCAGCUUGAACAGUCCAGAUGAACGAGGGCCGUGAUCAUAGAAAGUGGUUGUGUUUCCAUGGGAACAGGAGCUCCUCUUUAUCCUCAGGUGUUUGUAGUCGUAAACGGCGUGUAGACCCUCGUCACUGUGAUCCUCGGAGCUCUGGACCUCAUCCUGCUGACCCGCUUUGGCACCAGAUAGAGGUUCAAUGAGCUAUUAACUCAAACAGAGAGGGUCCUUUACAGCAGAAGGAGACAGCACCAGAGGGAUGCAACGUGUAGUUCUUCCCUGCAAUCGUCAAAGAGUACUGGACCACAUCAGGGUACGUCUACACACACAAAGAGAGAGUUGGAGAGACUUUAAUGCAUUCUGGAUACAGGGUUACAAACUAAUAUUCCUCUGAGGUAUCACUGUUUGGUACUUCUUCACAUGAGGAAGAGUCCUCAAACUGCCAGCACUCAUUAUUCCUGCAAGGAUAUCAGGGAUGUUUGAUGAAAAAAACAGCAGAGAAAGAAAGAAACAGAGAGAGAGAAAGAAAGAAACAGUGAAAUAAAGAAAAGGAAAGAUUCCAUACCCCAUGAGGAGAAUAUAAUCCAUACAAUAAAUCCAGAAUCUGGCAUGUUGCUCUACCGGUGGCUCUCUGUCAUUGUGUGCUUGGCAGUCUGAGGGAAAUACCGAGGAGGCUCUUCAGCUCUCCGCCCCUCUCUGCUGUGUAAUAUCCUGAAAAUUACCAUUUGAGGCUGAGAGACCACAUGAGUCACAAACUGAGCCUGUAAAAGAAGUUAAAUGCUUGUCUUAUUACAAACAGAAUAUUAAGUGCUGAGUGAGCCAAAGUAAUUAACAGUCAUCAUUUUAUGGACAGUUAAAGGGUGAAGUUAACCGCACUUUAAAAAUGUGUUAAAGUUUGUCAACCAUGUUACUGAAAAAAGUUCACUCUUCAUUAAUUUAUUUCCUCCAUCUUUAUUC